AGUGAAGCGGCAACAGCUCAAAUUUGAAAUCUGGCGCCUUUGGCGUCCGAGUUGUAAUUUGCAGAGGAUGCUUCGGCGUUGGCGCCGCCCAAAGUUCCUUGGAACGGGACGUCGUAGAGGGUGAGAGCCCCGUGUUCGGGCGGAUGCCUUCCCCGUGUGAAGCUCCUUCGACGAGUCGAGUUGUUUGGGAAUGCAUCUCAAAACGGGAGGUAAAUUUCUUCCAAAGCUAAAUACCGGCCGGAGACCGAUAGUGCACAAGUAGAGUGAUCGAAAGAUGAAAAGCACUUUGGAAAGAGAGUCAAACAGCGCGUGAAAUUGUUGAAAGGGAAGCGCUUGCGGUCAGAACUUGGCCGCCGUUGCUCGGGGAGGUCUCGCGCCUCCCUCGCUCUUCGGCGGCUGGGCCAGCAUCGGUUCGGGCGGCUCGAGAAAGGCCGCGGGAACGUAGCUCCCUCCGGGGAGUGUUAUAGCCCGCGGCGCAAUAGGGCCCGCCUGGACCGAGGUCUGCGCAUCUGCUCGGAUGCUGGCGUAAUGGCCCCAAGCGGCCCGUCUUGAAACACGGACCAAGGAGUCUAACAUUCGUGCGAGUGUUCGGGUGUCAAACCCGUGCGCGCAAUGAAAGUGAACGUAGGUGGGAACCCCUCGCGGGGCGCACCAUCGACCGAUCCUGAUGUCUUCGGAUGGAUUUGAGUAUGAGCACGUAUGUUGGGACCCGAAAGAUGGUGAACUAUGUCUAAU
rnacentral:rRNA from 1 species